GUGGGGAAUCUUCCGCAAUGGGCGAAAGUCUGACGGAGCAACGCCGCGUGAGUGAAGAAGGUUUUCGGAUCGUAAAGCUCUUUCGUUAGGGACGAACGUGCUCUUUGUGAAUAAUGAGGAGUAAUGACGGUACCUAAAUAAGAAGCCACGGCUAACUACGUGCCAGCAGCCGCGGUAAUACGUAGGUGGCAAGCGUUGUCCGGAAUUAUUGGGCGUAAAGCGCGCGCAGGCGGGAUAUCAAGUCUGUCUUAAAAGUGCGAGGCUCAACCUCGUGAGGGGACAGAAACUGGUAUUCUUGAGUGCCGGAGAGGAAAGUGGAAUUCCAAGUGUAGCGGUGAAAUGCGUAGAGAUUUGGAAGAACACCAGUGGCGAAGGCGACUUUCUGGACGAUGUCUGACGCUGAGGCGCGAAAGCUAGGGGAGCGAACGGGAUUAGAAACCCCGGUAGUCC
rnacentral:rRNA from 1 species